AUCCGUUUUACACACUAUAAAAUGAUCAAAUCAUAUUCUAUUUUUACAUUCAAAGAGAAAUAAAAUAUGGCUAAAACUCUCACAUUUGCGUAUGCUGUGAUUUUAUUUCUUUUCUUAUUUUUUGUUGCAAGAAAUAUCGAUGCAUUAAUUCCAUGUAAAAAUGAUUCUGAUUGUCCAGACUCUACUUAUACUCGAACGUUUAGGUGUGUUAACAAAGUAUGUAGAUGGACUCGCAAGUUCAGGGCAAUUGGCUAGAAAGCACGUGCGUGGACACUUAUCCUCCACGGAAGAAUAAGUUUUUACACUACUAGUAAAAAUACUACCAUAGUUGCCAUAUUUAUAUUGUGUCGAAACCCAAUAAUUAUUUUUAUUUAUUUCUCUUUUUGUAAUUUUUUGGACCUUACAAAUGUAUUAAUAUGUACAAUUAAGAUUUUGGUAAUGAAAUGAAAUAAGGCACUAAAUAAGAAAAGAUAAUUAUUUUGUUU